GACGAACGCUGGCGGCGUGCUUAACACAUGCAAGUCGAACGGAAAGGCCCUGCUUUUGUGGGGUGCUCGAGUGGCGAACGGGUGAGUAACACGUGAGUAACCUGCCCUUGACUUUGGGAUAACUUCAGGAAACUGGGGCUAAUACCGGAUAGGAGCUCCUGCUGCAUGGUGGGGGUUGGAAAGUUUCGGCGGUUGGGGAUGGACUCGCGGCUUAUCAGCUUGUUGGUGGGGUAGUGGCUUACCAAGGCUUUGACGGGUAGCCGGCCUGAGAGGGUGACCGGCCACAUUGGGACUGAGAUACGGCGCAGACUCCUACGGGAGGCAGCAGUGGGGAAUAUUGCACAAUGGGCGGAAGCCUGAUGCAGCAACGCCGCGUGCGGGAUGAAGGCCUUCGGGUUGUAAACCGCUUUCGCCUGUGACGAAGCGUGAGUGACGGUAAUGGGUAAAGAAGCACCGGCUAACUACGUG
rnacentral:rRNA from 1 species